UGGGGAAUUUUGCACAAUGGGGGAAACCCUGAUGCAGCGACGCCGCGUGAUUUAGAAGGCCUUCGGGUUGUAAAAAUCUUUUUUACGGGAUGAAAAUGACAGUACCGUAAGAAUAAGGUCCGGCUAAAUACGUGCCAGCAGCCGCGGUAAUACGUAUGGACCGAGCGUUGUCCGGAAUCAUCGGGCGUAAAGGGUACGUAGGCGGCCUAGUAAGUUAGAAGUGAAAUAAUAUAGCUCAACUAUAUAAAGCUUUUAAAACUGCUAGGCUUGAGAGAUGGAAGGGAAAGUGGAAUUCCUAGUGUAGCGGUGAAAUGCGCAGAUAUUAGGAAGAAUACCGGUGGCGAAUGCGACUUUCUGGUCAUCAUCUGACGCUGAGGUACGAAAGCGUGGGUAGCAAACAGG
rnacentral:rRNA from 1 species